UCUUGAGCGAGCGCGCCGGGCCGCUGAGCCGGGGCUGAGGCGCGGGAGCGGGGCUGCGCGGCGCCGGGCUGCGGAGCCCUGGAGAGUCACUGAAGAAGGAAAAGAGGAAGCAUACACUGGAUGAGCUAAGUAAUCUGAACACAGUGGGAGGUCACAUUACUAAGUAGUAAUUGUUGAGCAGAGGGGAAGAGGGUAGGAGAAAGAUGGAGAUGGUAGUACCAGCUAAAACUUGGAUUUUAUGGUGCAGCCUUCUGGCUCAGGUGCUUUCUUUACCCUCCUCUCCUUUUGUACCAUCUUAUUUAGCCCUUAAUUAUAUAUUUCCUACACUCACUUUGAGAAGCACUGGUUAUGUGGUUUGCCUCAAAUUCUGAAUCUUGGCUUUAGAUUUUAGUAUCACUGAUUCUCAGCUUUUGGGUUUAAGGGUAGCAGCUGUUUUUCUUAUGAGGAGGUAGAUGGGGUCUGGCUCUUAGAAUUAUUGAAAGGAAUAUAUUUCUACCCAUGGUGCUUGGAAUGGAUCCAGAAUUCAGCUUAAGAGUUUCUUUUUUUGUAUAGGCAUUUGCCACCAAAGAACAGGUUCUGGUCAGAGAGGCUCCUACCCGAGGACUUAACACUACCUGUGCUUUGAGGUAAUAUUUAGACAUGUCAGCGUACUUUCUUUAGUUUCAGUUCAUUUGCUCAUCAUGGCAGCCCAUUAAAAUGCUGUCUUUAUAAGUGGACAGAUUCCAAUCAAUACCUCAAAUCCUUUCUCCUCAUCUCUCUUUAUUGCUUAUCAACAAAAGGAGUCCCAUCCUGCUCUAAAAAACUAUCUUUGUAGAUUUAGGAACAACCAACCAUUGUAGCUUAGCUCAUUGGUGAUGUCUUCUCUUGAACCACCCAGAAUCUGUCCAUUUUUUAGUUUCUAUUCCUCCAUAGUCUGUUCCCAGAUUCCUGACCUCUUAAGAAUCUUACACUCCUUGAAUUCAUAUGGUAGCCACAACCAUUUGGCCAGUUGUAAUGGAGUUAUAAAGUCAAUGCAAAAAAGGAUAUAUGGUAUACUUGAUAGGAGAAAGCACUGGACUGAGUGAGUUUUAAGACUUUUAUCAGGGUUUGUGUGAGCCAGGUCAGCUUGCUCUGCUUCCCUGAUCAGUGAGUGGAAAGCAUGAGCCAGAUUUCUUCUUCUGAGGUUCUAGCACAUUUUGGCCUUGCAUAGGUAGGAUGGGAUUGAGUGUUCCUGGUUACAAAUGUUGUUAUGAGAACUGAGUGCCUCAGGACCAGUUCAGUCACA